UACGGAGGGAGCUAGCGUUAUCCGGAAUUACUGGGCGUAAAGGGUGCGUAGGUGGUUUUCUAAGUCAUCUGUGAAAUACUCGGGCUUAACCCGGGUGCUGCGGAUGAUACUGGAAAGCUAGAGUAGGGUAGAGGAGAGUGGAAUUUCCGGUGUAGCGGUGAAAUGCGUAGAUAUCGGAAGGAACACCAGUGGCGAAGGCGGCUCUCUGGACUCAUACUGACACUGAGGCACGAAAGCGUGGGGAGCAAACAGG
rnacentral:rRNA from 1 species